rnacentral:rRNA from 1 species
CCUACGGGAGGCAUCAGUGAGGAAUCUUGGUCAAUGGACGGAAGCCUGAACCAGCCAUGCCGCGUGCAUGAUGACGGCCCUAUGAGUUGUAAACUGCUUUUGUACAAGGGUAAACCUGUAUACGUGUAUACAGCUGACAGUACCGUACGAAUAAGCAUCGGCUAACUCCGUGCCAGCAGCCGCGGUAAUACGGGGGAUGCGAGCGUUAUCCGGGUUUCUUGGGUUUCAAGGGUGCGUAGGCUGGGUGGUAAGUCAGCGGUGAAAUGCCACCGCUCAACGGGUGGAAGGGCCAUGGAUACUGGCUGGCUUGAGUGCAGAUGACGUAGGAGGAAUGUGUGGUGUAGCGGUGAAAUGCAUAGAGAUCACGCAGAACACCGAUUGCGAAGGCAUCUCACGAAUCCGCGAUUGACGCUGAUGCACGAAAGCGUGGGUAUCAAACAGGAUUAGAUACCCCGGUAGUC